rnacentral:rRNA from 1 species
AGAGUUUGAUCAUGGCUCAGGACGAACGCUGGCGGCGUGCCUAAUACAUGCAAGUCGAGCGGGUUUUACCUUCGGGUAAAGCUAGCGGCGGACGGGUGAGUAACACGUAGGCAACCUGCCUAUAAGACUGGGAUAACUGUCGGAAACGAUAGCUAAGACCGGAUACGCUGGGGGGAAGGCAUCUUCCAUCCAGGAAAAGCGGAGUAAUCUGCUGCUUAUAGAUGGGCCUGCGGCGCAUUAGCUAGUUGGUAGGGUAGUGGCCUACCAAGGCGACGAUGCGUAGCCGACCUGAGAGGGUGAACGGCCACACUGGGACUGAGACACGGCCCAGACUCCUACGGGAGGCAGCAGUAGGGAAUCUUCGGCAAUGGACGAAAGUCUGACCGAGCAACGCCGCGUGAGUGAAGAAGGUUUUCGGAUCGUAAAACUCUGUUGCCAAGGAAGAACGACUAGGAGAGUAACUGCUCUUAGAGUGACGGUACUUGAGAAGAAAGCCCCGGCUAACUACGUGCCAGCAGCCGCGGUAAUACGUAGGGGGCAAGCGUUGUCCGGAAUUAUUGGGCGUAAAGCGCGCGCAGGCGGUUGUUUAAGUCUGAUGUUUAAACCCGAGGCUCAACCUUGGAUCGCAUUGGAAACUGGGCAACUGGAGUGUAGGAGAGGAAAGUGGAAUUCCACGUGUAGCGGUGAAAUGCGUAGAGAUGUGGAGGAACACCAGUGGCGAAGGCGACUUUCUGGCCUAUAACUGACGCUGAGGCGCGAAAGCGUGGGGAGCAAACAGGAUUAGAUACCCCCGUAGUCC